AUUGAACGCUGGCGGCAUGCCUUACACAUGCAAGUCGAACGGCAGCACGGGGCAACCUGGUGGCGAGUGGCGAACGGGUGAGUAAUGCAUCGGAACGUACCUUUCAGUGGGGGAUAACGUAGCGAAAGUUACGCUAAUACCGCAUAUUCUGUGAGCAGGAAAGCAGGGGAUCGCAAGACCUUGCGCUGAUUGAGCGGCCGAUGUCAGAUUAGCUAGUUGGUGAGGUAAAGGCUCACCAAGGCGACGAUCUGUAGCGGGUCUGAGAGGAUGAUCCGCCACACUGGAACUGAGACACGGGCCAGACUCCUACGGGAGGCAGCAGUGGGGAAUUUUGGGCAAUGGGGGCAACCCUGAUCCAGCCAUGCCGCGUGAGUGAAGAAGGCCUUCGGGUUGUAAAGCUCUUUCGGCCGGGAAGAAAUCGCACGGGCUAAUACCCUGUGUGGAUGACGGUACCGGAAUAAGAAGCACCGGCUAACUACGUGCCAGCAGCCGCCGUAAUAC
rnacentral:rRNA from 1 species